rnacentral:rRNA from 1 species
CACGGAGUUAGCCGAUGCUUUUUCUUCGGGUACUCUCGACUCCGCCACACGUGGCGGAAUUUGCUCCCCGACAAAAGAGGUUUACAACCCGUAGGGCCGUCAUCCCUCACGCGACUUGGCUGGUUCAGGCUCGCGCCCAUUGGCCAAUAUUCCUCACUGCUGCCUCCCGUAGGAGUCUGGUCCGUGUCUCAGUACCAGUGUGGGGGACCUUCCUCUCAGAACCCCUAGACAUCGUCGCCUUGGUGGGCCGUUGCCCCGCCAACUAGCUAAUGUCACGCAUGCCCAUCCGUUGCCGGAAUCGCUCCCUUUGGCCGCAGGGCCAUGCAGCCCCGCGGCGUUACGCGGUAUUAGACGGGAUUUCUCCCGAUUAUCCCCCUGCAACGGGUAGGUCGCAUACGCGUUACUCACCCGUGCGCCGGUCGCCGGCGGCAAGGAUUGCUCCUCGCCCCGAUGCCCCUCGACUUGCAUGUGUUAGGCCUGUCGCUAGCGUUCAUCCUGAGCCAGGAUCAAACUCU